CCUACGGGCGGCAGCAGUGAGGAAUAUUGGUCAAUGGACGAGAGACUGAACCAGCCAAGCCGCGUGAAGGAUGACUGUACAAUGGGUCGUAAACCUCUUUUAUCUGGGAACAAAAUCUUCCACGCGUGGGCUUUUGUAUGUACCUUAUGAAUAAGGAUCGGCUAACUCCGUGCCAGCAGCCGCGGUAAUACGGAGGAUGCGAGCGUUAUCCGGAUUUAUUGGGUUUAAAGGGAGCGGAGGGGGUUUGUUAAGUCAGUGGUGAAAGGUCGGGGGUCAACCGCAGGAUUGCAGUUGAAACUGGGAGUCUGGAGUUGGGGAGAGGUAUGCGGAAUGCGCGGUGUAGCGGUGAAAUGCGGAGAGAGCGCGAAGAACUCCGAUUGCGAAGGCAGCACGCCGG
rnacentral:rRNA from 1 species